GGGGGGGGUCCGGGUUUGAAGAGGAAAUUACGAAUAAUAUUUACCCUCACAUCGUUAGUUUGGUUUUCUAUAUACACUUUAUUCAUAGAGCUUGACAUUCUGUUAUUGCGUAGACACUUAGCUAGGCAUAUUGUCGCCUUAUUGAAAAGAAGUUACAAAGUCAUAAGCAGUAAAGACCGUGAAAAAUAUCCAUACAGUUUCAUAAGAAAGCC
rnacentral:lncRNA from 1 species